UUAUUUUCAAGUAGAAUAUUGUGGCAUUAGAAAAAAAAUAUUUUGAUAUGGCUUUCAAAGUGAUGACUUUUUUUCUUAUGAUCACGGUGAUAAAAAUUUGUGUUUCACCAGACGUUGAGGCAAGAGACGUCAAGUUGUGUUGUUUUUGUGAGAAAGAUGAAGAUUGUAAGAGUUUUUGCCAUAAACCUCCUUAUCGUUGUGCACUCCAUGUAUGUGCUUGCUCAAAAUAUACGUUUUCGAAAAUUGGAUUGCAAAACUUAAUAGGGGCAUGAAGAAUGAAGAUUUUAUGGACAAAAUAUAAUAUUAAAAAAAUAUGAAAAAUGAUGAAAUUACAGUUUUUUCUUUUAAAAUAGUUAAUAUAUAGUUAUCUCGAUUAUAUGUAACUUUAAAAAAAAA